rnacentral:rRNA from 1 species
UACAGAGGUCCCGAGCGUUGUUCGGAUUCACUGGGCGUAAAGGGUGCGUAGGUGGCCUAAAAAGUUUGAUGUGAAAGCUCAGGGCUUAACCCUGAAAUGGCAUUGAAUACUGUUGGGCUGGAGGUUUGGAGGGGGGACUGGAAUUCUUGGUGUAGCAGUGAAAUGCGUAGAUAUCAAGAGGAACACCAGUGGCGAAGGCGAGUCCCUGGACAACACCUGACACUGAGGCACGAAAGCUAGGGGAGCAAACAGGA